CAGCAGCCGCGGGAAUACGAAGGGGGCUAGCGUUGUUCGGAAUUACUGGGCGUAAAGGGCGCGUAGGCGGCCAUUCAAGUUAGAUGUGAAAGCCCUGGGCUCAACCUAGGAAUUGCAUUUGAUACUGUUUGGCUUGAGUUCGGGAGAGGUGAGUGGAAUUCCCAGUGUAGAGGUGAAAUUCGUAGAUAUUGGGAAGUACACCAGUGGCGAAGGCGGCUCACUGGACCGACACUGACGCUGAGGCGCGAAAGCGUGGGGAGCAAACAGGAUUAGAUACCCCCGUAGUCCCUGUCUCUUAUAC
rnacentral:rRNA from 1 species